UCCCCUAGUAACUGCGAGUGAAGCGGGAAAAGCUCAAAUUUAAAAUCUGACGGUUUCACCGUCCGAGUUGUAAUCUGGAGAAGCAUUUUCUGUGUCAGACCGUGUACAAGUCUCUUGGAAUAGAGUGUCAUAGAGGGUGAGAGUCCCGUCCAUGACACGGAUCCUGAUGCUUUGUGAUAUGCUCUCGAAGAGUCGAGUUGUUUGGGAAUGCAGCUCAAAAUGGGUGGUAAAUUCCAUCUAAAGCUAAAUAUUGGCGAGAGACCGAUAGCGAACAAGUACCGUGAGGGAAAGAUGAAAAGCACUUUGGAAAGAGAGUUAAACAGUACGUGAAAUUGUUGAAAGGGAAACGCUUGAAGUCAGUCGCGUUGUCUGGAACUCAGCCUUGCUUCUGAAGUUCUCUGACGGUGCUGCGGUAGAGCGCGUAUGUUGGGACCCGAAAGAUGGUGAACUAUGCCUGAAUAGGGUGAAGCCAGGGGAAACUCUGGUGGAGGCUCGUAGCGAUUCUGACGUGCAAAUCGAUCGUCAAAUUUGGGUAUAGGGGCGAAAGACUAAUCGAACCAUCUAGUAGCUGG
rnacentral:rRNA from 1 species